rnacentral:rRNA from 1 species
GGAAUUUUGGACAAUGGGCGAAAGCCUGAUCCAGCAAUGCCGCGUGAGUGAAGAAGGCCUUCGGGUUGUAAAGCUCUUUUGUCAGGGAAGAAACGGUGAAGGCUAAUAUCCUUUGCUAAUGACGGUACCUGAAGAAUAAGCACCGGCUAACUACGUGCCAGCAGCCGCGGUAAUACGUAGGGUGCAAGCGUUAAUCGGAAUUACUGGGCGUAAAGCGUGCGCAGGCGGUUUUGUAAGUCUGAUGUGAAAUCCCCGGGCUCAACCUGGGAAUUGCAUUGGAGACUGCAAGGCUAGAAUCUGGCAGAGGGGGGUAGAAUUCCACGUGUAGCAGUGAAAUGCGUAGAUAUGUGGAGGAACACCGAUGGCGAAGGCAGCCCCCUGGGUCAAGAUUGACGCUCAUGCACGAAAGCGUGGGGAGCAAACAGGAUUAGAUACCCGAG